rnacentral:rRNA from 1 species
AACGAACGCUGGCGGCAUGCCUAACACAUGCAAGUCGAACGAGACCUUCGGGUCUAGUGGCGCACGGGUGCGUCACGCGUGGGAACCUGCCCUUAGGCUCGGAAUACCUCUCUGACAGGGGUGCUAAUACCGGAUAAUGUCUUCGGACACAAGAUUUAUCGCCUUUGGAUGGGCACGCGUUGGAUUAGCUAGUGGGUAGGGUAAAAGCCUACCAAGGCGACGAUACAUAGCUGGUCUGAGAGGAUGAUCAGCCACACUGGGACUGAGACACGGCCCAGACUCCUACGGGAGGCAGCAGUGGGGAAUAUUGGACAAUGGGCGAAAGCCUGAUCCAGCAAUGCCGCGUGAGUGAUGAAGGCCUUAGAGUUGUAAAGCUCUUUUACCCGGGAUGAUAAUGACAGUACCGGGAGAAUAAGCACCGGCUAACUCCGUG